UGCCAGAGCCAUAUCUCCCUGCAGUUAUUGUAUGGUUUCCCCACUGAAGUUAAGCAGGGAUGAGCCUGGACAGUACCUGGAUGGUAGACCUCCUGGGGAAAAACUAAGAAGUGCCAGAAG
rnacentral:rRNA from 1 species